ACAAAUAAACAAAGAAAUAUCUAUCUCAUUAGCAGUAUUGCCCCUCUUUGAUAAAUUCCAGGAUGGCCAACUUGCUUCUAAUUAUACUAAAGACUGCCCCCUCUGACUGAGGUUUCCAUACAUAAACUACUCCUGACCUUCUACCUCUCAUUGGGCUAAUCAUUAUUCCUAUACAUGCUUCCCGAACUCAAUUUCAUUUCCCUUGGGAAGCUUUUUCUGACCCUCCAGUCUGGGUUAGUUGUCUCCUGAGUUCGCAGUCUCUGUGUCUUUUGUCAGGUAGAUCAAGCCAAAUUAUCUGUCCCUUCCCUGGGUAAGGCCUGGCUUGUUGCCUCUGCAGACUAUUCAGCAUAUGCAAAGAAGACAGAUGAGGGUGUUCUCCACAGUCGUUCUUUCAACAAGAAGGCAAGAGUUGACCUUGACCUGUUUCGAUUCACUGUUUAUUGAUUUAUUAUUAUUCUUUUUGUCAGGCCCUAGGCCAUCACAACUGAUUUAUAAAACCUGGCUCCUGCCUGAUAAAGCCAGGUUCAUCAAGAACAACAAAUAAACCCCUCCCCUGAGGUUUGAAAGGAAGUCUGUCCAAUGAUGUCAUUUGGGCAAGCAAAGGUCAGAAAGGAUUUUGAGAGAUACUACUGUGUUUAAUGGAAAAUACUGUCAGGAGGUGGUGGAGCACACCUUUAAUCCCAGCACUCAGGAAGCAGAGGCAGGUGGAUCUCUGUGAGUUCAAGGCCAGCCUGGUCUACAGAGUGAUCUCCAGGACAGCCUACCUAGUGUCUGCCCUAGUGUGUUAAACUCCCAAUGUGCAUAGCCUCCAGGCACCUUCAGAGCUCAGAGGCAUUGGAUUCCCCUAGAAUGGAGUUACAGGUGCUUGUGAACCCCCUGACGUGGUACGGGAACUGAACUUGAGUCCAUGGAGGAGCAGUAAGUGAUCUUAACCACCGAGGAUUCCUCCACUCCCACCAGAGCCCUUCCUUAUUUUUUUUUAAUGAAAGAAUGCACCAAACACAUUUACAUUUGUUUUCUUUUUUAAGCAAAUAACAAAGACCCAAAUUGUCAGUGUUUUUAAACCUAAGCUUAACAUUACCUACUUAAACAAUUUUCAGAACUGACAAAUUUGACAGCAUCCAUGCACAAUGAGAAAACAGAAACGUAUUACCAUUGAUGCAGUAAUAGCGUUCAUUACUAAAUACUGAAAAUAAGAUUGAAAUAUUUCUGCAGAAGGUUCAUCUGGCAACGUUAGCUUCACAGCAGGCUUCCACUACUCACUCACAGUUCAAUGGGAAACAGACCCCUGCUGGCGUCAGAGAACAAUCUCCUCCUAGCACUACUCAAGAGUCACAGGGCUCACCUCGGAUUACAGAUACGGUUUGUUUUGUUUUGUUUAAAGCAAAGUGCAUACAGAGGUUACAACAAUUUUAAAGACCAAAAAAAAAAAAAAAAGGUCCUAUUUUGUGAUCUCAACCACAAACUCAAAAGUCUAUGACAAAUAGGGGCUCCGAUGAACUAUUUUGUAAAUACUUUAGAUUAGGUACAGUUAUACAGAAAGUCAAGUUCGUUUGAAAUCUUCAAAAAAAGUUCCUGUUAUUCCUCAAAUGGUGUUUGUUAUGGUUUAACAUUUCUGUUAAAUGCGUGCAUUGAAUUACUUGUUAUCCAAGCAUAGCAGGUGCCCCUUACUAUUUAUCGUCAAGAACUUUAACUGUCCAUUUUCUUCAGCUUCUGUGACUGUUCUCCACAAUUCUCUUUGUAGUCAUUUUUUUUUUUUUGCCAUUAACAACUGUCUUAGUAGAAGUUGAUAUUGAUUUGAAGUUGCCCAUUCCGCUGCCACCAAAUGAUGCUGACGAGAAUGAAGUGAGACCCCCGUGUCCUAGUGGCCGGAACGAACUGAAUCCUGUAUCAGAAGCAGGAAAUCCACCCCCAAAAGAAGGAAAUCCACUGAAGGCAAAUCCACGAGCCUGAACCUCAGCUUCUAUUUCUUCGGGAAGCCCUUCGGCUCCCAAAAAGUUAUCAAAUGGGUCUUCAAAGAAGUCAAAUGAAAAUGGGUCCCUUCCACCAAAAAAUUCCCUGAAGACAUCAUCUGGAUUCUGGAAAAUGAAGUCAAACUCAAACGGACUGUUGAAAUGACUUCCACCUCCUCCUCAUUCACCAUUAAAUCCUUAUUUUCCGUA